rnacentral:rRNA from 1 species
UUGAACGCUGGCGGCAUGCUUUACACAUGCAAGUCGAACGGUAACAGGCCUUCGGGUGCUGACGAGUGGCGAACGGGUGAGUAAUGCAUCGGAACGUACCCAGAGGUGGGGGAUAACGCAGCGAAAGCUGUGCUAAUACCGCAUGUGAUCUGAGGAUGAAAGCGGGGGACCGAGCAGCAAUGUUUGGCCUCGCGCCUUUGGAGCGGCCGAUGUCGGAUUAGCUAGUUGGUGGGGUAAAGGCCUACCAAGGCGACGACCCGUAGCUGGUCUGAGAGGACGACCAGCCACACUGGGACUGAGACACGGCCCCGACUCCUACGGGAGGCAGCAGUGGGGAAUUUUGGACAAUGGGCGCAAGCCUGAUCCAGCAAUGCCGCGUGCGGGAAGAAGGCCUUCGGGUUGUAAACCGCUUUUGGCAGGAACGAAACGGUGUCCGCUAAUACCGGGCGCUAAUGACGGUACCUGCAGAAUAAGCACCGGCUAACUACGUG